rnacentral:rRNA from 1 species
CGCGUGCACUGGUUCGGCCGGGCCUUUCCCUCUGGGGAGCCGCAUGCCCUUCACUGGGUGUGUCGGGGAACCAGGACUUUUACUUUGAACAAAUUAGAUCGCUUAAAGAAGGCCUAUGCUCGAAUACAUUAGCAUGGAAUAAUAGAAUAGGACGCGUGGUUCUAUUUUUGUUGGUUUCUAGGGACCGCCGUAAUGAUUAAUAGGGACAGUCGGGGGGCAUCAGUAUUCAAUUGUCAGAGGUGAAAUUCUUGGAUUUAUUGAAGACUAACUACUGCGAAAGCAUUUGCCAAGGAUGUUUUCAUUAAUCAGGAACGAAAGUUAGGGGAUCGAAGACGAUCAGAUACCGUCGUAGUCUUAACCAUAAACUAUGCCGACUAGGGAUCGGACGAUGUUAUAUUUUGACUCGUUCGGCACCUUACACGAAAGUAAAGUUUCUGGGUUCUGGGGGGAGUAUGGUCGCAAGGCUGAAACUUAAAGAAAUUGACGGAAGGGCACCACCAGGGGUGGAGCCUGCGGCUUAAUUUGACUCAACACGGGGAAACUCACCAGGUCCAGACACAAGUAGGAUUGACAGAUUGAGAGCUCUUUCUUGAUUUUGUGGGUGGUGGUGCAUGGCCGUUCUUAGUUGGUGGAGUGAUUUGUCUGCUUAAUUGCGAUAACGAACGAGACCUUAACCUGCUAAAUAGCCCGCAUUGCUUUGGCAGUGCGCCGGCUUCUUAGAGGGACUAUCGG